rnacentral:rRNA from 1 species
GAUGAACGCUGGCGGCGUGCCUAAUACAUGCAAGUCGAGCGAACAGAUAAGGAGCUUGCUCCUUUGACGUUAGCGGCGGACGGGUGAGUAACACGUGGGUAACCUACCUAUAAGACUGGGAUAACUUCGGGAAACCGGAGCUAAUACCGGAUAACAUUUGGAACCGCAUGGUUCUAAAGUGAAAGAUGGUUUUGCUAUCACUUAUAGAUGGACCCGCGCCGUAUUAGCAAGUUGGUAAGGUAACGGCUUACCAAGGCGACGAUACGUAGCCGACCUGAGAGGGUGAUCGGCCACACUGGAACUGAGACACGGUCCAGACUCCUACGGGAGGCAGCAGUAGGGAAUCUUCCGCAAUGGGCGAAAGCCUGACGGAGCAACGCCGCGUGAGUGAUGAAGGGUUUCGGCUCGUAAAACUCUGUUAUUAGGGAAGAACAAAUGUGUAAGUAACUGUGCACGUCUUGACGGUACCUAAUCAGAAAGCCACGGCUAACUACGUG